GUUGCAAGCUCGUAUCAAGAAUGUGUUGUAACGAGUUCCUUAAAAUCAGAAGAAAUUCAGUGUAAUUGCAUUAAUAACAGUCGGGUGGUAUGCAACGUGACUGAAAGAAGUCAAGAUGUUGAAAGAAUAGAUCAUUGGAGAUGUGCAACAUUUCACGACGCAGAUCCAAGUUAUAGCAACAUUGUCAAUGUAUCCAUGCUAGGCAUCCGAGUUUCAACCAAAGAAAAAUUGCAAGAAGUUACAUUUACGAACGAGAUGUCCGUUGUGUCCGAAGUAACAUCUCGUGACGGUUAGGAAUCAAGAGCGAUCCCCGAUUUAAAAGAUUCGCGAAAUAUUGGGAUCACAGUGAUCAUAGCCAGUUCAACAGCAGGAGUGAUUUUUCUUUUGUUGGCAACAGGGUUUUUAUCUAUAUGUGUUUACAGACAAUGCAACACAUUCAGGACAGGAUCGCAUAGUAUUCCAAUCAUGCUCUCUGGUAAUCUACAAACCAACAUGCUGGCGACUCCAGAUCAUGUUUCCAACAGGCAAACUGAAGAAAGGCCGACAACUGUAAACCAAUAUGACUGGGUCUCAUACAUCGAUAUUUUACCAUCCACGUGCAAUAAUACCGCGACAACAAGCACGGAAACGCCAAAACUUGCUACAUCUUGUGUUCAAUGUUACGAAAUUAUUCCUGAA